AUGGCUAACGCUCUGUGGGCAGAAGUCUGUGAGAAAUUCGAGGCGGCGCUGGCGCUCUCACGGGUAGAGUUGCAUAAAAACCCAGAGAAGGAACCGUACAAGUCCAAAUACAGCGCCGAGCGCUGCUGGAAGAGGUAAAGGCGCUGCUCGGCCCCGCGCCUGAGGAUGAGGAUGAGCGGCCUGAGGCCGACGACGGCUUGGGUGCAGAAGACCACACCCUGGCUCUGCCAGCGGAAGUGGUGGAGGCCGAGGGGCCCAUCGCCCGGCGGGCGGUGAGGCUGGCGGUUAUUGAGUUCAACCUCGGGGUGAACCACAUCGACACUGAGGAGCUGUCAGCGGGGGAGGAGCAUCUGGUGAAAUGCCUGAAGCUGCUGCGCAGGUACCGGCUCUCGCACGACUGCGUCUCCCUCUACAUCCAGGCGCAGAAUAAUCUAGGUAUCUUGUGGUCUGAAAGAGAAGAAAUUGAAACUGCACAAGCUUACUUAGAAUCAUCAGAAGCACUAUAUAAUAGGUAUAUGAAAGAGAUUGGAAGUCCUCCUCUUGAUCCUACAGAGCAUUUUCUUCCUGAAGAAGAAAAACUUACUGAGCAAGAGAGAUCAAAAAGAUUUGAGAAGGUUUACACUCAUAACCUAUAUUAUCUGGCUCAAGUCUACCAGCAUAUGGAAAUGUUUGAAAAGGCUGCCCAUUAUUGCCACAGUACACUAAAACGCCAGCUUGAGCACAGUGCCUACCAUCCUUUAGAGUGGGCUAUUAAUGCUGCCACCUUAUCACAAUUUUACAUCAAUAAGCUAUGCUUUAUGGAGGCCAGGCACUGUUUAUCAGCUGCUAAUGUCAUUUUUGGUCAAACAGGAAAGGUGUCAGCUACAGAAGACACUCCUGAAGCUGAAGGAGAUAUACCAGAACUUUAUCAUCAAAGGAAAGGGGAAAUAGCAAGAUGUUGGAUCAAAUACUGUUUGACUCUUAUGCAGAAUGCCCAACUCGCUAUGCAGGACAACAUAGGAGAGCUUGAUCUUGAUAAACAGUCUGAACUUAGAGCUUUAAGGAAAAAAGAACUAGAUGAGGAAGAAAACAUUAGGAAAAAAGCUGUGCAGUUUGGAACUGGUGAACUGUGUGAUGCCAUCUCUGCAAUAGAAGAGAAAGUGAGCUAUUUGAGACCUUUAGAUUUUGAAGAAGCCAGAGAACUUUUCUUGUUGGGUCAGCAUUAUGUCUUUGAGGCAAAAGAGUUCUUUCAGAUUGAUGGUUAUGUCACUGACCAUAUUGAAGUUGUCCAAGACCACAGUGCUCUAUUUAAGGUGCUUGCAUUCUUUGAAACUGACAUGGAGAGACGGUGCAAGAUGCAUAAACGCAGAAUAGCCAUGCUAGAGCCCCUAAUUGUAGACCUGAAUCCGCAGUAUUACCUGUUGGUCAAUAGACAGAUUCAGUUUGAAAUUGCACACGCAUACUAUGAUAUGAUGGAUUUGAAGGUUGCCAUUGCUGACAAGCUAAGGGAUCCCGAUUCACACAUCAUUAAAAAAAUAAAUAAUCUUAAUAAGUCAGCAUUGAAAUACUACCAGCUUUUCUUAGACUCCCUGAGAGAUCCAAAUAAAGUGUUUCCUGAGCAUAUAGGGGAGGAUGUUCUCCGUCCUGCCAUGUUAGCUAAGUUUCGAGUUGCCCGUCUCUAUGGCAAAAUAAUUACUGCAGAUCCCAAGAAAGAAUUAGAAAAUUUGGCAACCUCAUUGGAACAUUACAAAUUUAUUGUCGAUUACUGUGAAAAGCACCCUGAAGCUGCCCAGGAAAUAGAAGUUGAACUAGAACUUAGUAAAGAGAUGGUUAGUCUUCUCCCAACAAAAAUGGAGAGAUUCAGAACCAAGAUGGCCCUGACUUAAUCUUUGUUUUGAAAGAAUGAAAAUGUACAAUAUGGAAAUGAUUUUUUUUUCUUAGUCAAACAGGUCCUGUUCCACUGUAAUAUUUACCUGUAUAGCUAGAGGAUUGCAGUUUGAGCUUGAGACACAGUCAGAUAAACUGAGUCUUUCCUAGGAUUUUAAUCAACAUAAUGUUAAUAAUUGAUACCUAAUUAUGUAAAUUGCCUUGUAAAUGUGAAACAUGAUUUGUAGUUUGGAUUGCUUGUUUCCUAUUUCAGCUUUUCUUGCCUCAGUUUCUAAAUGUAGAUUCUUUGUUGGCUAGUACUUGAUAGAUUCCUAACAAAGAAAAAUGCUGGGUAAUGUACCUUGUAGACAAGACUGUUACUAUAUUAAAAUUGAAAAAAUAACUUCAUAUAGUUAUUCUUUCUAAAUAUUUGCUUUCCUAAAUUCCUAAAGAAAUCUUUCCCUUUUGAGAAUAGUAAAAACUAAGUUAUUUUGUUGUAUUGUGUUAUAAAUGGGGGGAAAAGGCCUUGCUGGAAGUACAAUAAAUUGACUCGUCUCACUAAUAAAAACUUCCAUUUCCCCUUUUUGUCUUACAAGAAUUGGUUUGUUUUUUGUUUUUUUUUUUUUUUUUGAGACAACCUCAAGCUGUCGCCCUGGGUGGAGUGCUGUGGCAUCACAGCUCACAGCAACUUCCAACUCCUGGGCUCAAGAGAUUCUCCUGCCUUUGCCUCCCAAGUAGUUGGGAUUACAGGCACCCACCACAACGCCAGGCUAUUUAUUGUUGUUGUUGUUGUUGUUGUUGCAGCCAUCAUUGUUUGGUGGGCCCGGGCUGGAUUUGAACCCGCCAGCUCAGGUGUAUGUGUCUGGUGCCUUAGCUGCUUGAGCCACAGGCGCUGAGCCAAGAAUUGGUUUUAUUUUUGAUGUUCCAAAAGUAUUAGGUACUUAAAGUCAGAGAAGAAUAUUUCUUCAAUAAUAUUGCAC